UACGUAGGGUGCGAGCGUUAAUCGGAAUUACUGGGCGUAAAGCGUGCGCAGGCGGUUGUGCAAGACAGUUGUGAAAUCCCCGGGCUCAACCUGGGAACUGCAUCUGUGACUGCAUAGCUAGAGUACGGUAGAGGGGGAUGGAAUUCCGCGUGUAGCAGUGAAAUGCGUAGAUAUGCGGAGGAACACCGAUGGCGAAGGCAAUCCCCUGGGCCUGCACUGACGCUCAUGCACGAAAGCGUGGGGAGCAAACAGG
rnacentral:rRNA from 1 species